rnacentral:rRNA from 1 species
AGUGAACGCUGGCGGUAGGCCUAACACAUGCAAGUCGAACGGCAGCACAGUAAGAGCUUGCUCUUACGGGUGGCGAGUGGCGGACGGGUGAGGAAUACAUCGGAAUCUACUUUUUCGUGGGGGAUAACGUAGGGAAACUUACGCUAAUACCGCAUACGACCUACGGGUGAAAGCAGGGGAUCUUCGGACCUUGCGCGAUUGAAUGAGCCGAUGUCGGAUUAGCUAGUUGGCGGGGUAAAGGCCCACCAGGGCGACGAUCCGUAGCUGGUCUGAGAGGAUGAUCAGCCACACUGGAACUGAGACACGGUCCAGACUCCUACGGGAGGCAGCAGUGGGGAAUAUUGGACAAUGGGCGCAAGCCUGAUCCAGCCAUACCGCGUGGGUGAAGAAGGCCUUCGGGUUGUAAAGCCCUCUUGUUGGGAAAGAAAAGCAGCAGGUUAAUACCCCGCUGUUCUGACGGUACCCAAAGAAUAAGCACCGGCUAACUUCGUG